GAUGAACGCUGGCGGCGUGCCUAAUACAUGCAAGUCGAGCGAACAGACGAGGAGCUUGCUCCUCUGACGUUAGCGGCGGACGGGUGAGUAACACGUGGAUAACCUACCUAUAAGACUGGGAUAACUUCGGGAAACCGGAGCUAAUACCGGAUAAUAUAUUGAACCGCAUGGUUCAAUAGUGAAAGACGGUUUUGCUGUCACUUAUAGAUGGAUCUGCGCCGCAUUAGCUAGUUGGUAAGGUAACGGCUUACCAAGGCAACGAUGCGUAGUCGACCUGAGAGGGUGAUCGGCCACACUGGAACUGAGACACGGUCCAGACUCCUACGGGAGGCAGCAGUAGGGAAUCUUCCGCAAUGGGCGAAAGCCUGACGGAGCAACGCCGCGUGAGUGAUGAAGGUCUUCGGAUCGUAAAACUCUGUUAUUAGGGAAGAACAAAUGUGUAAGUAACUAUGCACGUCUUGACGGUACCUAAUCAGAAAGCCACGGCUAACUACGUG
rnacentral:rRNA from 1 species